rnacentral:misc_RNA from 1 species
GAAGGUACACAGAACACAGAG